UACGGGGGGGGCAAGCGUUGUUCGGAAUUACUGGGCGUAAAGGGCUCGUAGGCGGCCAACUAAGUCGGACGUGAAAUCCCUCGGCUUAACCGGGGAACUGCGUCCGAUACUGGAUGGCUUGAGUUUGGGAGAGGGGUGCGGAAUUCCAGGUGUAGCGGUGAAAUGCGUAGAUAUCUGGAGGAACACCGGUGGCGAAGGCGGCAUCCUGGACCAACACUGACGCUGAUGAGCGAAAGCCAGGGGAGCAAACGGG
rnacentral:rRNA from 1 species